rnacentral:rRNA from 2 species
CUGCCCAGUGAUCAAUGACAUGAUUUAACGGCCGCGGUACCCUAACCGUGCAAAGGUAGCAUAAUCAUUUGCCCUAUAAUUGAGGGCUUGUAUGAAUGGUUUGACAAGAACAAUACUGUCUCUUAAAAAUUUACUAAAAUUUGGUUUUUAGGUGAAGAAACCUAAAUAAAAUUGAAAGACAAGAAGACCCUAUCGAGCUUAAAAAAUACGUUAACUAUAUAGAAAAACAAACUAACGAAAAAAUUUGGUUGGGGCGACUAAGGAACAAAUAAAACUUCCUUUAAUAUAAAAAACUUAUAUGUAUUGAUCCAAAAUAUUUGAUUAAAAAAAUUAGUUACCGUAGGGAUAACAGCAUAAUCUUUUUAGAGAGAACAUAUCGAAAAAAAGGUUUGUGACCUCGAUGUUGGACUAGGAUAUCCUAAUAGAUUGCAGAAGUCUUUAAAGG